UGCCAUGCGUAAGUUGACACCAGGAGUAUAUAAAGCAUUUUUUGGUGUCAUCUCACUAGUUUUUCCUUCAUCACCUGUUCAGCAGCUCUCCUUCCGUUUACAUCACAGAACAGCGAUGGCAGCAGCAGCAGCUUUGUCCAGAGGUAGAGGAGUGGCUGGUCUCAGAACCACCAAAGGCCUGUUCCUCAUCUUCACUCUUCUGUGUCUGGUUUGCCUCACACAUUCACAGAUAGAUGAGGACCAACUGGAAACGUUCAUGGAAUUCCUUCAAAAGGCAGAAGAAAUUAAGAGUUUACAGGGAAAGCUCAAUAAAUUGUUUCGAAGGGCACAAGAAGACCCGGACAGUAAGAAG